AGUGAACGCUGGCGGUAGGCCUAACACAUGCAAGUCGAACGGCAGCACAGGAGAGCUUGCUCUCUGGGUGGCGAGUGGCGGACGGGUGAGGAAUACAUCGGAAUCUACUCUGUCGUGGGGGAUAACGUAGGGAAACUUAGGCUAAUCCCGCAUACGCCCUACGGGUGAAAGCAGGGGACCUUCGGGCCUUGCGCGAUUGAAUGAGCGGAUGUCGGAUUAGCUAGUUGGCGGGGUAAAGGCCCACCAAGGCGACGAUCCGUAGCUGGUCUGAGAGGAUGAUCAGCCACACUGGAACUGAGACACGGUCCAGACUCCUACGGGAGGCAGCAGUGGGGAAUAUUGGACAAUGGGCGCAAGCCUGAUCCAGCCAUACCGCGUGGGUGAAGAAGGCCUUCGGGUUGUAAAGCCCUUUUGUUGGGAAAGAAAUCCAGCUGGCUAAUACCCGGUUGGGAUGACGGUACCCAAAGAAUAAGCACCGGCUAACUUCGUGCCAGCAGCCGCGGUAA
rnacentral:rRNA from 1 species